rnacentral:rRNA from 1 species
GACGAACGCUGGCGGCGUGCCUAAUACAUGCAAGUCGAACGCUUCUUUUCCCACCGGAGCUUGCUCCUCCGGGAAAAGAGGAGUGGCGAACGGGUGAGUAACACGUGGGUAACCUGCCCAUCAGAAGGGGAUAACACUUGGAAACAGGUGCUAAUACCGUAUAACAAUCGAAACCGCAUGGUUUCGUUUUGAAAGGCGCUUUACGGUGCCGCUGAUGGAUGGACCCGCGGUGCAUUAGCUAGUUGGUGAGGUAACGGCUCACCAAGGCCACGAUGCAUAGCCGACCGGAGAGGGUGAUCGGCCACAUUGGGACGGGGACACGGCCCAAACUCCUACGGGAGGCAGCAGUAGGGAAUCUUCGGCAAUGGACGAAAGUCUGACCGAGCAACGCCGCGUGAGUGAAGAAGGUUUUCGGAUCGUAAAACUCUGUUGUUAGAGAAGAACAAGGGUGAGAGUAACUGUUCACCCCUUGACGGUAUCUAACCAGAAAGCCACGGCUAACUACGUGCCAGCAGCCGCCGUAA